ACGGGUGAGUAACACGUGAGUAACCUGCCCUUGACUCUGGGAUAAGCGUUGGAAACGACGUCUAAUACCGGAUAUGACUCCUGGCCGCAUGGUCUGGGGGUGGAAAGAUUUUUUGGUCAAGGAUGGACUCGCGGCCUAUCAGGUAGUUGGUGAGGUAAUGGCUCACCAAGCCGACGACGGGUAGCCGGCCUGAGAGGGUGACCGGCCACACUGGGACUGAGACACGGCCCAGACUCCUACGGGAGGCAGCAGUGGGGAAUAUUGCACAAUGGGCGAAAGCCUGAUGCAGCAACGCCGCGUGAGGGACGACGGCCUUCGGGUUGUAAACCUCUUUUAGUAGGGAAGAAGGGAGCUUGCUCUUGACGGUACCUGCAGAAAAAGCACCGGCUAACUACGUGCCAGCAGCCGCGGUAAUACGUAGGGUGCAAGCGUUGUCCGGAAUUAUUGGGCGUAAAGAGCUCGUAGGCGGUUUGUCGCGUCUGCUGUGAAAUCUGGGGGCUCAACCCCCAGCCUGCAGUGGGUACGGGCAGACUAGAGUGCGGUAGGGGAGAUUGGAAUUCCUGGUGUAGCGGUGGAAUGCGCA
rnacentral:rRNA from 1 species